rnacentral:rRNA from 1 species
UACGUAGGGUGCAAGCGUUAAUCGGAAUUACUGGGCGUAAAAGCGUGCGCAGGCGGUGAUGUAAGACAGAUGUGAAAUCCCCGGGCUCAACCUGGGAACUGCAUUUGUGACUGCAUCGCUGGAGUACGGCAGAGGGGGGAUGGAAUUCCGCGUGUAGCAGUGAAAUGCGUAGAUAUGCGGAGGAACACCGAUGGCGAAGGCAAUCCCCUGGGCCUGUACUGACGCUCAUGCACGAAAGCGUGGGGAGCAACAGG